rnacentral:rRNA from 1 species
CCUACGGGGGGCUGCAGUGGGGAAUAUUGGACAAUGGGGGGAACCCUGAUCCAGCCAUGCCGCGUGUGUGAAGAAGGCCCUCGGGUUGUGAAGCACUUUCAGUGAGGAAGAACGCCUGGUGGUUAAUACCCAUCAGGAAAGACAUCACUCACAGAAGAAGCACCGGCUAACUCCGUGCCAGCAGCCGCGGUAAUACGGAGGGUGCGAGCGUUAAUCGGAAUUACUGGGCGUAAAGCGCGCGUAGGUGGCUGGAUAAGCCGGUUGUGAAAGCCCCGGGCUCAACCUGGGAACGGCAUCCGGAACUGUCAAGCUGGAGUGCGGGAGAGGAAGGUAGAAUUCCCAGUGUAGCGGUGAAAUGCGUAGAGAUCGGGAGGAAUACCAGUGGCGAAGGCGGCCUUCUGGACGGACACUGACACUGAGGUGCGAAAGCGUGGGUAGCAAACAGGAUUAGAUACCCUGGUAGUC